UACGUAGGGUGCAAGCGUUGUCCGGAAUUAUUGGGCGUAAAGAGCUACGUAGGCGGUUUGUCGGCGUCUGCUGUGAAAACUCGGGGCUUAACCCCCGGGCCUGCAGGUGGGUACGGGCAGACUAGAGUGCGGUAGGGGAGACUGGAAUUCCUGGUGUAGCGGUGGAAUGCGCAGAUAUCAGGAGGAACACCGGUGGCGAAGGCAGCUCGCUGGAACGGUACUGACGCUGAGGCGCGAAAGCGUGGGGAGCAAACAGG
rnacentral:rRNA from 1 species